UAUAUAUAUACGUGAUAUAUAUUUUCAAUCCCUAGCCUCUCCCCUCUCCCUCAAUAUAUAUCACUCCAUAUCUCUCUCUACUGCGCCAGUCCCCCUCCUCAAUCUCGAUUUUCCUAUCUCUCUCCGGCGCCCAGUGACCCGCACGGUUGGCCAACCCACCGGCCUUCUUCUCCAGUCGAAACCGGCCGGCCUCUCUCUACGUUCCUGUACUGGUGAAAAACAUGUCAAGAAAAAGAGCAUGGUCGAAGUUACCAGUACGAGAUCAGAUUUCGACAAUAAUACCGCCAUCACAACAAUCAGCUUCGUACGCCGACAAUGAUACACGGGGCCUGCAGACCGGACUAUACCGACCUACCAUAUUGAUGCAAUUGUAUGAAGACUAACAUAAUCAUAAUGUAAUUUAUGUAGGAUAUGGCUAAAAAGAACAAGGAAAUACGAGACAAGUACAAUAUGCCACACUCGGCUGGCUCGAGAAGCUUUGCCUAUAUUGCACAUGAGAUUAGGAAAAAAGGGAAAACACCUACGAGGGCGGUCGUUUACGAUGUAACUCACACGAGAAAGGAUGGCAGUUUCUUCAAUGCAGACAUUGAGGACAAAGUUGAGAAGAUGAGGGCUUUGAGUUCACAGGAUACUGCAGUAAACUCAAGCUUGACACAUGGAUCAAUAAAUUGGGCAAUUGACGACGCUUAUGCCAAGGUCAUGGAGAAUGCAGAAUACACUGGUCGUUUACGAGGAAUGGGACCUGGGCAUCUACCAGUCAAAUCCAAAACACAUGCAAAUAAAUCAUCGACCCUAGCUGCACAAGUCCCUACACUACUUGAGCGUAUAAAUGAACAAAAUCAACAGAUUUUCAAACAAAACGAACAAAUUGCCGUGUUAACAUCUGCCUAUGUCGACGUCCACAAAUUUAUGGAAAAUUAUUUUCCGAGCCAAAGAACGAGUAACAUAAACAUGUGUACUCCACAGGACACCGACUGUCCCGUUGUUGUGAGAGCAAGAUCAUCAGUUGGUAAUCGACCGGGUGAGAAUGAAUUAACAAAUGAAGAUGAGCAUGUAGCUGAUGCAGAAGACGACCAUUAUGGAUCAUCACAAAGUAAUCGUUAAGUGAUGUACGUAUACUUGACUUGUUAGGUUGGUGUGAUCAGCAGGAAUUUGUGAGAAUGGCAGCACGGUUUGGGGCCACAAUUGUACCAUUUGGAGUUGUUGGAGAAGAUGAUAUAGCAGAAUUUGUCCUUGAUUACAACGACCUAAUGAAAAUCCCCGUAGUUAAUGAUCAGAUCAAAGAUGCUAAUCGCAAUGCAAUAAGAGUGAGAUGAGUCAAGUGGGGAGGUUGCCAGCCAACAGCUCUUUCUGCCAGGAAUCUUGCCCAAGAUACCUGGGCGCUUCUACUAUCUGUUUGGAAAACCCAUAGAAACAAAGGGAAAAGGAAGGGAUCCUAAAGGACAAAGAAGUUGCAAAGCAAUUGUACUUGCAGGUAAAAUCUGAAAGCUAUAUUGCAUUCUUGCUUAAGAUGAGGGAGGAGGAUCCUUAUAGGAGUGUUAUUGAUAGAACAUUAUACAAGGCAAUGCAUGCUCCUUCAC